UGGGGAAUAUUGGGCAAUGGGGGAAACCCUGACCCAGCAACGCCGCGUGAAGGAAGAAGGCUUUCGGGUUGUAAACUUCUUUGACGGGGGACGAAAGAAAUGACGGUACCUCGAAAACAAGCCACGGCUAACUACGUGCCAGCAGCCGCGGUAAUACGUAGGUGGCAAGCGUUGUCCGGAUUUACUGGGUGUAAAGGGCGCGUAGGCGGGAUUACAAGUCAGAUGUGAAAUGCCAGGGCUUAACCCUGGAGCUGCAUUUGAAACUGUAGUUCUUGAGUAUCGGAGAGGCAGGCGGAAUUCCUAGUGUAGCGGUGAAAUGCGUAGAUAUUAGGAGGAACACCAGUGGCGAAGGCGGCCUGCUGGACGACAACUGACGCUGAGGCGCGAAAGCGUGGGGAGC
rnacentral:rRNA from 1 species